GCAUCGCUGCCUUCGUUCCUGUACUUCAUGUAUGUGUGGGGGAGGAGCUUGCACGCUCAUGUUGCCAGCAUCGCUGCUGUCGUUGGUUCUUCACUCUCUCCUGCUAUAUAUCUCCCUCUCCACACGUGCAGACUACCAGCAGUUGUCAACCUCUCCUCGUCUCAGACGCUGCUUUCCUCGGGACAUCCUGUCACUAACAUCAUUCUCACAAAGACCAUCUCCGGGUUGGACAUACAGGUGCAUUUGACUACUGGUACUCUCACAAGGGUUAUCUUGACCAUCCACAUCCAUCAUCCCUUUAUUUAGUGUUGUUUAGAAGUGCUUUACCCACCCUCUUCACUGAUUUGGUCCACUACAGGCUGUCUUCUGUAUCUCCUCAUCACCUCCCAGAAGACCUUUGGUGGAUACAAUGCUGCGAUUCUUUUUAUUUCUACUCUCCAUCUCUCCUUUCGUGUUGAUGGAGGAGACAGGAAGGUAAACCGUGUUGACUCUUCUUGACUUUUGGCUUACAAUACAUGCCAAAGGUUUAACAAUCAGCUUUUUAUGUAGUCAAUAACAAACUGAAACACUGAUCGUUUGUUAGUCGUCUAAAUCAGGGAUGCCCAA